rnacentral:rRNA from 1 species
UUCUGGAUGAGUUGCGAACGGGUGAGUAACGCGUAGGUAACCUGCCUGGUAGCGGGGGAUAACUAUUGGAAACGAUAGCUAAUACCGCAUAAGAGUAGAUGUUGCAUGACAUUUACUUAAAAGGUGCAAUUGCAUCACUACCAGAUGGACCUGCGUUGUAUUAGCUAGUUGGUGGGGUAACGGCUCACCAAGGCGACGAUACAUAGCCGACCUGAGAGGGUGAUCGGCCACACUGGGACUGAGACACGGCCCAGACUCCUA